rnacentral:rRNA from 1 species
CAGUAGAACGCUGAAGACUUUAGCUUGCUAAAGUUGGAAGAGUUGCGAACGGGUGAGUAACGCGUAGGUAACCUGCCUACUAGCGGGGGAUAACUAUUGGAAACGAUAGCUAAUACCGCAUAACAGCAUUUAACCCAUGUUAGAUGCUUGAAAGGAGCAAUUGCUUCACUAGUAGAUGGACCUGCGUUGUAUUAGCUAGUUGGUGAGGUAACGGCUCACCAAGGCGACGAUACAUAGCCGACCUGAGAGGGUGAUCGGCCACACUGGGACUGAGACACGGCCCAGACUCCUACGGGAGGCAGCAGUAGGGAAUCUUCGGCAAUGGGGGCAACCCUGACCGAGCAACGCCGCGUGAGUGAAGAAGGUUUUCGGAUCGUAAAGCUCUGUUGUAAGAGAAGAACGUGUGUGAGAGUGGAAAGUUCACACAGUGACGGUAACUUACCAGAAAGGGACGGCUAACUACGUGCCAGCAGCCGCGGUAAUACGUAGGUCCCGAGCGUUGUCCGGAUUUAUUGGGCGUAAAGCGAGCGCAGGCGGUUUAAUAAGUCUGAAGUUAAAGGCAGUGGCUUAACCAUUGUUCGCUUUGGAAACUGUUAGACU